GACAGAGGGUGCAAACGUUGUUCGGAAUUACUGGGCGUAAAGCGCGUGUAGGCUGCUUCGCAAGUCGGAUGUGAAAUCCCCGGGCUCAACCCGGGAACUGCGUCCGAUACUGGCAGGCUUGAAUUCGGGAGAGGGAUGCGGAAUUCCAGGUGUAGCGGUGAAAUGCGUAGAUAUCUGGAGGAACACCGGUGGCGAAGGCGGCAUCCUGGACCGAGAUUGACGCUGAGGCGCGAAAGCCAGGGGAGCAAACGGG
rnacentral:rRNA from 1 species